rnacentral:rRNA from 1 species
AUACGGAGGGUGCAAGCGUUACUCGGAAUCACUGGGCGUAAAGCGCGCGCAGGCGGUCUUUUAAGUUGGAUGUGAAAGCCUACGGCUCAACCGUAGAACUGCAUCCAAAACUAUUAGACUAGAGUGUGGGAGAGGAAGAUGGAAUUAGUUGUGUAGGGGUAAAAUCCGUAGAGAUAACUAGGAAUACCAAAAGCGAAGGCAAUCUUCUGGAACACUACUGACGCUGAGGCGCGAAAGCGUGGGGAGCGAACAGGAUUAGAAACCCUUGUAGUCC